GUCCACGCCGUAAACGAUGGAUACUAGCUGUUUGGUUUUCGGACUGAGUGGCUAAGCGAAAGUGAUAAGUAUCCCACCUGGGGAGUACGGGCGCAAGCCUGAAACUCAAAGGAAUUGACGGGGGCCCGCACAAGCGGUGGAGCAUGUGGUUUAAUUCGAUGAUACGCGAGGAACCUUACCAGGGCUUAAAUGUAGGUUGACAGGACUGGAAACAGUUUUUUCUUCGGACAACUUACAAGGUGCUGCAUGGUUGUCGU
rnacentral:rRNA from 1 species